rnacentral:rRNA from 1 species
GACGAACGCUGGCGGCGUGCUUAACACAUGCAAGUCGAGCGGUAAGGCCCUUUCGGGGGUACGACGAGCGGCGAACGGGUGAGUAACACGUGGGUGGACCUCGCCCUCCAGCUCUGGGAGUAAGCCUGGGAAACGUGGGUCGUAAUACUGGAUAUGACUCCACGGUGCAUGUCGUGGGGUGGAAAGCCUUGUGCGGCUGAGGA